UUGAGAGAAUUUGCGCUAGGGUUUGUAUUGCAGCAAAAGGGGAAAGUAGCAAGCACGCCACCGGCGGCUAGGGUUUAUACCCAGUUACAAUCAUCGCGUCCAGAAUGGAGAAGGAGCGGUGGCUUUAUAGCCAUUACAGGUGAAAAGCAAAGCAAAGAGCAAAAGCAGAGCACAUGCAUUGUCGGAUGAUCAACAGCGACCCUCGGAGCGAUGACAGCCGUUGGAUGGGAGAUCCACGGUGGAGAUGACAUUCCAGUAGCGAACCGUUAUCUUCUUUCGGGAGCCACUGGAUGGCAGAUCGACGGUCCAUGCUGCUUCCGACAUGCUAGAACAGAGCAAUUCUUCAGAGAUGUCUUUAGUUGGCCUGACAAUUCCUCCCCGUCGAGACCAAGCUUGCCCUCAAGCUUGAAAGGAAGGGAAAACUUUCUGUAUGAAGGCCGAAUCCUCCCAGGUGGCUGCUUCUUCGGGCAUGUUGACCCACUUGAUCAACCAGCGAACGACUGGAAUACUGAUGUUUCCCUGGGGUCUGGGGAUUAACUUCCUGUCCAAGAUUGCUUCUGGCUCCAUUUGAAUAAUUCCAUCAGCACCAAUGAGUGGCAAAUUCUUUGAAGGGACCGCUCGGGGGCCAAUGUGUUUCUUUAGUUGACUCACAUGGAAGGUGUUAUGCAGCUUGCAGCCUUCAGGGAGAAGGAGCUGAUAAGCAGCUCGGCCAACUCGUUGUACAAUCCUGAAUGGGCCAUAGAACUUGGAAUGCAACUUGAGGUGCCGAUGCAGACUGAGGGAAGUGUGCCUGUAGGGCUGCAGUUUCAAGUAAACCAUGUCUCCUUCAUCAAACGAUCGUUCUUGCCUGUGUCUGUCAGCAAAGUGCUUCAUACGUUGUUGUGCCUUAGAGAGAUUCUGUUUGAUCACUUCCAGGGCCAGUUCCCUGUCCUGCAACAAGGUGUCACUGUCCUCCGAAAUAGAGUCAGGCAAUGCAGACUCAGCUAUCAUAGGAGGGGGAAAACCAUAUAGGGCCUGGAAGGGAGUCAUUUGCAAGGAAGUGUGGAAACUUGUGUUGUACCACCACUCAGCUAGUGCUAACCAUGCAUGCCACUUCCUAGGUUGCUGAAAACACAUGCACCUUAAGUAGUUCUCCAAACACUGGUUCACCCUUUCUGUCUGUCCAUCAGUUUGAGGAUGAUAGCUUGUGCUCAUGUGUAACUUGAUCUUGAGUGACUUGAACAGCUGCUGCCACAAGUUGCUUGUAAAGAUUUUGUCCCUGUCAGUUACUAUAACCAAUGGCAUUCCAUGGAGUUUAAACACUGUGUCAGAAAAUGCCCUUGCUACAGACUGAACCGUUAUGGGGUGUUUCAUGGCAAUGAAAUGGGAAUAUUUUGUAAAUCUGUCUACCACCACCAGAAUCAGAUCCUUGUUUUCAGAAGUGGGUAGCCCCUCCACAAAGUCCAUGCUGAUGUGUGCCCAUGCAAAGUCUGGGACUGGCAGGGGCUCUAACAAGCCAGGGUAGGGUGUAUGUUCAGCUUUGUUGACCUGGCAGACAGGGCAUUGCUUGAUAAAAUCAAUGACAUCCUGCUUGAGGCCAUGCCAAUGGAAAACCAAGUGAACUCUGUGGUAUGUUGCUCUCUGUCCAGAAUGUCCUCCCAGUUCUGAAGCAUGGAAUGUCUGCAAGAUAUCUUGUCUCAAGGAGGUGGCAGUUCCAAUGACAAUUUUGUUUUUAUAUCUCAAGAUACCAUUUUUGAAUGUAUAUCCAGUGUCAAUGUUUUUGUUAGUUGCACAUUGAGCUAUAAGAUCUUGGACUUUCUGAUCUGAAUUAUAGCUUUUAACCACUUCAGAAACCCAUUUAGGUGUGGAGAAACUGGUAGACAGGAAGGAUAUCAUGUGCUUGACCCUGGAUAAAGCACCAGCAGCCUUGUUUUCUUUGCCCUUUUUAUACUCAACUGUAAAGUUGUAGCCUAACAGUUUGAGUAAUAACUUGUGCUGUAUUCCUUCAGUCAGUUUUUGUUCCUGAAUGUACUUCAAGCUCUCCUGAUCAGUUCUGAUAAUCAGGGAAGUGGCUAGGAAGUAGUGUUUCCACUUUUUGACAGCUUCUAUUAUUGCUAGAGCUUCCUUGUCAUAGGUAGACCAUGCUGCUGCUUUGGGCCCAAUAGACUUGCUGAAAUAGGAUAAUGGUUUCCCAUCCUGCAUCAGGACAGCCCCUAGGCCAUAACCACUGGCAUCAGCUUCUAACACAAAUGGUUUAGAGAAGUCUGGCAGGGCCAGGACAGGUGCUUGUGUCAGUUUUUCUUUAAUAGUUGUAAAUGCUGCUUGCUGUUCUGGUUGCCAAGAGAAGGAGUUCUUUUUCAGACAGUCAAAGAGGGGCCUGCAGAUAACUCCAUAUCCCUGUAUAAACCUUCUGUAGUAACCACUCAGGCCCAGAAAACUUCUAAGUUCAGUUACUGUAGUGGGGGCUGGCCACUCCCUUAUAGCAACAAUUUUAGUGGGAUCAGUUGCCACACCUUCCUUGUUAAUCACAUGGCCCAAGUAUUCUAUUUCAGACUGACCAAAAGAGCACUUGUCCAACUUGGCAUACAGUUUAUUGUCUUGUAGGACUUGGAAUACUUUCCUGAGAUGUACCUUGUGCUCUUCCAUGGUCAAACUAAAAACCAGAAUAUCAUCAAAGAACACUACCACAAACUCGAAAGGGCCAAACAGGAAAUUCAUGAGAGAUUGAAAUGAGGGAGGGCCAUUGGUCAGUCCAAAUGACAUAACUAGGAACUCAAAGUGGCCCUGGAGUGUGGAAAAUGUUGUUUUGUGUAUGUCCUCCUCAGCCAUCCUUAUCCGGUGAUAUCCACUUCUGAGAUCUAUUUUGGAGAAGACUGUUGCUCCUUUCAACUGGUCUAAGAGAUCUUCUAUCACAGGAAUGGGGUACUUGUUUUUUAUUGUGAUAGCAUUAAGUUUCCUGUAGUCAAUGCAGAGUCUCCAAGUUCCAUCCUUCUUCUUCACUAGAAGCACAGGAGAAGAGAAAGGACUAGUGCUAGGUCUAAUGAGACCAGAUUUCAGGAGUUCAGAGAUGAUCUUUUCUAGUGCUUCUUUCUGGUGAUGUGGUACUCUGUAUGGUCUCUGGUUUACUACUUUUGCUCCUUCCAUAAGUGGAAUUCUGUGAUCACAGGGUCUGCUUGGAGGUAGUUCAGUAGGGGUGUUGUCAUACUGUUGAAUUAUCUCUUGGAGUUCCUCUGGAAUUGCUUGAGCAGUAGCAGAAGUCAUAGUAUGACAGGUAGAUAAGAGAAAAAAAUCCACAAACAGCCUGGUCCAUUAACUUUUCUGCAUUAUCAGUGGCUUCCAUUGGUGAGGACAGGGGUACAGUUUCAUCCACAAAUGUCACUUGAGUCUGAGGUGUAACAUUAAUCCUCAUUUCCAUUUUAAUGAAGUCCAUCAGAACAGGGCUAUAUUUCUUUAGCCAAUCAACUCCCAAGAUCAUAUCAUACCCCUUCAGUUUCAGAACUCUGAAGGUGUCAUGCAGUUUGGUGCCCUGUAUUUCAUAGGGGCAGUUCCUGGAAGUGAACUCACUCCACAGCUCUCCUCCACUUGCUACUAGCACUUUAAUCUUGGAAUUUGGGGUUGGGGCAACAGGUAGUUUUGCAGCCAUAUCAGGGGAUACAAAUGUGGAAGUGCUCCCACUGUCCACAAGGGCUGUAGCUACUGUUUUUCCCACAUUAACAGUUAAGAUAAAAGUGUUCUUCAUUGCCCCUAUGCCCAUGGCAGCAUGCAGAGAAACUUGCAACACAACAUUGUCAGAAGGAGGUACCAUUUGUUCUAAGUCAGGAUCCUCAAAGUCUGUGACAUAAAUAAUUUCUGCAUUUUCCUCUUCUGUUGCCUGCAGUGCCUGUACUUGAGCUUUCUGGCUCAUUUUGCACACCUGCCUAUGGUCAGGAACCCAUGGCUCUCUGCAUUUAUAGCAGACUUGGUUUUGUUUGGCCUGCUGUAUAAUUGUGUUUCUGUUUUGUGUGGUGGCAGCUAGGGGGGGUUUUGCUGGUUCAAACACCACUUGUCUUUUGGGCUGAGGGUAGUAGGGCUUGGAUUGAGCAGUAGCAGUAGCCUUUUCCAUUCUUCUAGCAUACCACACAGCUGUCUGCAUAUCAGGAGGUUUAAAACACUCCACAUGACUUCUGAUGUAAGGAUUCAGUCCAGACAGAAAACUGGUGAUAUAAUAGUCAUUUGGUAUAGCAGGAUUUUCUCUUCUCAUGCAGUUCACGAGUUGUUCAAAUUGCUCAACAUACACAACCACUGUUGACGUUUGGGAUAUUGCAUGGAAAGAGUUAACAAUAUCACAAGCAGAAUCGAUUGAGAACCUAUCUGCAAUAUAAGUGCAAAAUCUGUGCCAUGGCACAUUUUGUGGGGAAAAUCCAGUUCCUCUCCACCAUUGUAUGGCCGGGCCUUGCAGAUAAGAUACUGCCAGCUCGGUCCUGUGCUCCAAAGGAGUCCUUGCAGCCGCAAAGUACUGCUCCAAGUUCUGAAUCCAUGACUCAGGAUCUGUUCCACUGAAUUCAGAGAUGUUCAGUUUGGCUGGUUUAACUGUGAGAACAUUUCUUCGGUUGUUAAAUGGAGAGUCAGGCCUUCUGCCUCUAUCUCCUCCCUCUGGCCACUCUUCCAGCGAGUGAUCUUCUAACUGUAUGGGAUGUUGCUGUGGGGGUGGAACUUGUUGUGGUGCCACUGCUCUGUUUACUGCAAAAUUCGGAUGGCGAUAGGGAAUUUUGGGCGUGCCAUCCAAGUUGAGCUCUUUACCAGCAGGAUCUCGCAAAACUGCUGUUCCAAUUACGGCCUGAGCCUCUUUUUCUUGCAUAGCUACUGAAGGAGGAGUGUUCGCCAGUAGUUGCUUGGGCCUGCCCGGUGCAUUGGGUGGUGACUGCAACAGAGGCUGUUUAUGCUGUACACUCCCUUGUGCCGACUGUUCAUCAGGAACGUCGCCCUGCUCUGGCAACAACAGCAAAUGCUUGAAAUUAUCCUGGAUUUUGUCAAAAUUUUGCUGCAUGGUGACGAAGUUCUUGUUGACCAUGAAUUGGAAGUCCUGGAAUUCCUUCUUGUCUUCCUCACGAUAGCGUUGCAGGGUUUUGAUAUCUAGUUCCAACGACUGGAGCUGCAAGACGCCCGUGUCAAUGGAGCCUUCCGGGUGGGACAUGGCUUCGAGAAGGGAGGGAAGGGAGGGACUUGCCGCGAGCUCUUGUAUCUACCGCCGCCAACACCAAGAAGCACCGUCCGAGUUCAGAUUCUGGGAUUUUACCGCAGGAGAAAGACUCCCCAGCAACCAGAAGUGAAAUUCAGACUGCCUCCAAACUGUGCCACUCCGGCCUCCACCAGAUCAACAACAAGAAGAGGGAUUUUCCGGCCUGUUCGCCAACCUCUACUUGCCAGAUCCAACGCCUCCGAGAACCGAUUGGGCCUCUGAUACCAAUUGUCAGGAACCUGACAGAGAAUCGGUCGAACUAUACACUCAACGAUGCGAAUUCAGAGGUGAAUUUGAGAGAAUUUGCGCUAGGGUUUGUAUUGCAGCAAAAGGGGAAAGUAGCAAGCACGCCACCGGCGGCUAGGGUUUAUACCCAGUUACAAUCAUCGCGUCCAGAAUGGAGAAGGAGCGGUGGCUUUAUAGCCAUUACAGGUGAAAAGCAAAGCAAAGAGCAAAAGCAGAGCACAUGCAUUGUCGGAUGAUCAACAGCGACCCUCGGAGCGAUGACAGCCGUUGGAUGGGAGAUCCACGGUGGAGAUGACAUUCCAGUAGCGAACCGUUAUCUUCUUUCGGGAGCCACUGGAUGGCAGAUCGACGGUCCAUGCUGCUUCCGACAUGCUAGAACAGAGCAAUUCUUCAGAGAUGUCUUUAGUUGGCCUGACACCCCCCUAUCCUUUUGCAAUUCGAUAACAUCGUUUUGUAGCACCAAAACAGCACAACGUUGCUGAAACAUACGACGCUCCACCAAGACCAUAUCAGGAAUCGUACAAGAAAGUGCAUCUAGUUUAGGUAUUCUUUCGUAUCCAACAGCAGCAAAUGUGUUUGCAGUUUUCAACACCGUAGUUUCCAUUCAAUUCUCGAGCUUCAGCCCACGACCUCAGCAGUGUUUAACAGGCUACCGGAUUCACCAACCUUUGCUGACCUUCAGUCAGUCAGUCCACGCCUGCUUAUAGAAAACGAGAUCAUUACAACAAAUCCACGGCCCUCGCAGUACAGCCUCAUUAACAGUGUUCAUCGCAGAGGCUAUAACCAGAACUUAGCAACUGAAAUACUC
rnacentral:lncRNA from 1 species